CACUUUCCAAUACUGGCACAGUAAAGGAUUUUUGUAAGUUAGACCUUUGCACUUUUUCAAAAGCCGUGUUUGGAGCAACAUCACUAUUUUAUAUUAGAUUUACAGUGCGUACUACCACGCAUAUCAAAUCUGAAGUGGCUGAAUGCCCAUUUUCAGACGCUUGUAGCUACUGUUACAGAAAAUUGAAUUCAGCUGCAUCCUUGAAAUUGCUUCUGAAAUUUCUUUACAAACAUAGAAGAAGACUUAAUCCAUCAUAAUAUUAUUCAUGUUCCCAAUACUUAUAUUUUGAAAACCUCAACACAACAGAAAUUAUAUAAAGAAUUCUUAUUUGACAUAUUAAAGACACAACGUUUUAAAUUUCAUUACUGCUUUCUUGACUGUGUGUCACAAUUCUGUGAAGAUCAGGUUCUUGUGCUGAAUUGGGAACGUCUUCACCGGGAUGAAUCUAUUGUUUCCUUGCUGAGUUUAGCGGUUUCAGUUUGUAGCCUGCUAAAAAGUAGGAAGUUCUGCUUAAAAAAUCGCAACAAACAGAAAAGCCUCAUACCUCAAUCUCUGUGGAAAAGAGCCCUCUGAGCAGGUGUAAGAAUCGCCCAGAUUUUCCAUACAAGCCAAGAAGCGGGCUUUGAAGAUGCAAAAAGAAGCUGGUAGCAUGUUGCAACAGCCUAUCAAAAGAGGCUGCACCCAUUCUUCAAUUACCUGAGCUGCACCCCUUAGUUGUUUGUCUUCAAAUCAAGAGAAGAAGGAACUGAAGCAUGUUUUAUACCAGGAACUUGAUAGCCACAGAGUGGUUAUGGGGAAAAGCCACAGAAAAUCACCAUGUAAAUGCUUUUCUUGCUUCCCAAGUCAAAAUUGCUUUUGGUGUAAUGAAUGAAAUCUACACUUUAUCUACUAUACAUCUAGAUACUAUCAGAUAGCAUGUACAUGCCAUUAUUUCACUUCCCAGUUUGCUGGAUCAACCAAGUCACUGUCAUGUGUUGUUGUAACUGAUACGAUAUUUUGGAAGCAAAGAAGAG
rnacentral:lncRNA from 1 species